AUACGGAGGGUGCAAGCGUUAUCCGGAAUCAUUGGGUUUAAAGGGUCCGUAGGCGGGCAAAUAAGUCAGAGGUGAAAUCCCACAACUCAACUGUGGAACUGCCUUUGAUACUGUUUGUCUUGAGUUAUAGUGAAGUAGAUAGAAUAUGUAGUGUAGCGGUGAAAUGCAUAGAUAUUACAUAGAAUACCGAUUGCGAAGGCAGUCUACUAACUAUUGACUGACGCUAAUGGACGAAAGCGUGGGGAGCGAACAGGAUUAGAAACCCCAGUAGUCC
rnacentral:rRNA from 1 species